rnacentral:lncRNA from 1 species
UGUAAAGGUUGUCUCCUGAGCCUGUCAAAAGGAGAGAAACUGUAAAAGGGCAGUUAGCCUUCACCCAUUGAAGGAAGGCCCCUAGUUGACGUCGGCAACCUCGUCGGUGGAGGAAGCCAAAAGUGGAGUAGGUCAAGGCUGACCGAACCACUCUAAAUCUCUGGUUUGCGUUUAUUUUCGAGCACUUUAUCAUUACUGCAAACCUCCUUCAUUGCUACUGCUCUCUGCGCUUUCACGAACAAAUUCUAAGUGCUGUUCUUCCAAAUCUGCAUUCAGACGUAAAUUCGUAUUUUCGUACAUUACAGUUUACGUUUACGUUUGAUUCUGCAGAACUGUCUUCCGUGCUUUUACGAACGAGUUUCUUUGCAGUUUACGCUUACAUUUUAAUCCUAUUAAUAACUGCAAUCUGUCCUCUAUGAUCUUACGAACGAGUUUCAACAUUUAGACGCAAAACUGCAUUCAGACGUAAAUCGGCUUUUCUCGCUCAAUCGUCAGAUUUCAGUUCACGUUUACGUCUUGAUUUCAACUGCAUACUGCCUUCUGCGAGUAUACAAACAAGUUUCAAAGUUUAGACGUAAAUCUGCGUUUAGACGUAAAUCUGCGUUUAGACGUAAAACUACGUUUAGACGUAAAUCUGCGUUUAGACGUAAAACUGCGUUUAGACGUAAAACUGCGUUUAGACGUAAAACUGCGUUUAGACGUAAAUCUGCGUUUAGACGUAAAUCUGCGUUUAGACGUAAAUCUGCGUUUAGACGUAAAUCUGAGUUUAGACGCAAAACUGCACUUAGACGCAAAACUGCGCUUAGAUGCAAAACUGCGCUUAGAUGCAAAACUGCGCUUAGACGCAAAACUGCGCUUAAACGCAAUCUGCGCUUAGACGCAAACUGCACUUAGAUACAAACUGAGAAUUUGCUUUUGCAUCAUAAUAGUUUUUGAACGAACGCAGCUUUUGGUUCUUAAUCGCUGUAAGAUUUCCGCUGCACUAAUUCACCCCCCCCCCUCUUAGUGCUCUCGAUCCUA